AAUUUGCUUUAUGUUUCUCUUGGAAAUGCCCACUGUAGGCUUUUUUUCUUUGAGAACAAUUUUGGGGCUUUAUUUUUGUAGAAUAUAUCAUACAACUUUUGAGAUCAUAGAAGAUGAAAAACUAGUACUUGCAUAGUCGUAUCUUCAAAUAUCACCUCUUGAUUUUAUGGAGGUUGACUUUUUGUCAUAUUUUCCUUCGGUCUCGCACCUCUCCCUCUCUCUCUCUCUCUCUCUCUCUCUCUGAAAUCUCAAUGGCAUUCUCAGCAGAAGAACACCAGGAGCAAAAGCUGAUCUCCAAAAACUUAGCCAAAGAGGAAGAAGAAGAAGAGGAAGAAGCUUCAAAUGGCCAAGACGAUGACGAUGACUUUGAAGAUGAAGCUGAGGAUGAAGAAGAAGAAGAAGAAGAAGAAGAAGAAGAGGAUCCCCAUGUAGUAAGUAAAGAAUCUAAGCUUCAAUAUUACGCUCGAUUCUGGCCGGAGGGAGCUCCCUGGCACUGCUAAUGUCAUUGUUGAGGUUGUUGAGGCGAAGAACCCCCUCACAGGGGACAUUGGUAUAUUCACGAAGCUGGAGCAUACUUCUAGAAAAAAGUUCCCCCCUCGUUUCUAUGUGUGGAUUUUGAAAGCACAAAAAAUUAUACUACUACUUGCAGCUCGAAGAAAAACUUCUUCAACGUGUCAGUUCUUUGGUUCAAGACUCAAAUUCUGAUUUUUGGAGAAAUGGAAGGUUUUUAAUUCAUAUGGGCAGGCAACUUGCAUCUUUUAAUGAUGGGAAGAUUUGGAUAUGCAAAUCCUGGAGAACAUGGAAGAUGCCAGAGUUGAUCUUUGUGUCCCCUUUGGUAGUUGUUGAUGGGGAAGACUGCUUUGCUUUUAAGGGGUAUAAACCUGGCUGCUCCUAACACCAAGUUUUCAAUGUUCCUUUGUUUUGGUCAUCUACCAAAUCAAAUGGAAGAUCAUCUAGGGGACAUGGACUUCAAGAUUGCAGGCGCACAAAAUGGAGUAACUGCAAUUCAGUUAGAUAUAAGACCUUCUGGAAUUCCUUUAGAUAUUAUUUAUGAGUGUUUAGAGCCUGCUCUUAAGGGUCGUCUUCAAAUCCUUGACCGCAUGGAGCAAAAGAUAAAUGCACCGCGUACUCAAGAUGACAGAAAUUCCCCUCAAUUAGGUUGAAUGCUCUGCUUUUGAUUUUCUAUUUGACCUACUGACUUGCAGCUUUCAAUGUGAUGUUAUUCCUUUUUCUAUUCAUUGAGAAUAUCUAUGUGCUACAGCCACCUUGAAAUUCAGCAAUGAUGCCCUACAUCGUUUGAUUGGGCCUAUGGGUGCUCUGAAGAGAAAAAUUGAAGAAGGAACAGAUUUUAUUUGAAUUUGAAGAUGAUUUAGUAUUAUCAGAUAUUCUCUCUUUUUCCUAUGAAGAUUUAGACAUUUGGAAGAUGUCCCACUGACAUAGGCCCACUGUAGUUCCUUCUAAAUUUAUUGAACGUUCAUAAUUCCUUUUGAAUUAUGAUUGAUAAACUUAGCCACAUGAAAGUUCUUGACAGCAUUAGCUUUGAGUUUGUUCUA